rnacentral:rRNA from 1 species
AGAGUUUGAUCCUGGCUCAGGACGAACGCUGGCGGCGCGCUUAACACAUGUAAGUCGAGCGAGAACCAGGCCUUCGGGCCUGGGGACAGCGGCGAACGGGUGAGUAACACGUGGGUAAUCAACCCUCGAUACUGGGAUAGCCCGGGGAAACCCGGAUUAAUACCGGAUAGCCCUUUGGAUCCUCGGAUCUGAAGGAAAAGGUAGCUUCGGCCUCCGAUCGAGGACGAGCCCGCGGCGGAUUAGCUUGUUGGUGAGGUAACGGCUCACCAAUGCGACGAUCCGUAGCUGGUCUGAGAGGACGAUCAGCCACACUGGGACUGAGACACGGNCCAGACUCCUACGGGAGGCAGCAGUGGGGAAUCUUGCGCUUAAAUGCGGGAAAACCGUGACGCAGCGACGCCGCGUGAGGGAAGAAGGCCUUCGGGUUGUAAACCUCUUUCAGGAGGGACGAAGCCACUCGGGUUAAUAGCCCAGAGGGUGACGGUACCUCCAGAAGAAGCCCCGGCUAACUACGUGCCAGCAGCCGCGGUAAUACGUAGGGGGCAAGCGUUGUCCGGAUUUAUUGGGCGUAAAGAGCGUGUAGGCGGCUAGGUAGGUCCGUUGUGAAAACUCGAGGCUCAACCUCGAGACGUCGAUGGAAACCAUCUGGCUAGAGUCCGGAAGAGGAGAGUGGAAUUCCUGGUGUAGCGGUGAAAUGCGCAGAUAUCAGGAAGAACACCCGUGGCGAAGGCGGCUCUCUGGUACGUGACUGACGCUGAGACGCGAAAGCGUGGGGAGCAAGCAGGAUUAGAUACCCUGGUAGUCCACGCCGUAAACGAUGGGUGCUAGGUGUGGGCGGUGUCGACUCCGUCCGUGCCGAAGCUAACGCAUUAAGCACCCCGCCUGGGGAGUACGGCCGCAAGGCUAAAACUCAAAGGAAUUGACGG